rnacentral:rRNA from 1 species
UACGAAGGGUGCAAGCGUUGCUCGGAAUUAUUGGGCGUAAAGGGUUGGUAGGUGGUCUUGUUUGUCUAAGGUGAAAUCCCAUGGCUUAACUGUGGAAGUGCCUUGGAAACGGCAAGACUAGAGUCCUAGAGGGGUUUGUGGAAUUCCCGGUGUAGCGGUGAAAUGCGUAGAGAUCGGGAGGAACACCAGCGGCGAAGGCGGCAAACUGGAUAGGCACUGACACUCAACAACGAAAGCGUGGGGAGCAAACAGG